GAAAUGCGAUAAGUAGUGUGAAUUGCAGAAUUCAGUGAAUCAUCGAAUCUUUGAACGCACAUUGCGCCCUUUGGUAUUCCUUAGGGCAUGCCUGUUCGAGCGUCAUCUAAACCUUCAAGCCCUGCUUGGUGUUGGGUGCCUGUCCCGCCUCCGCGCGCGGACUCACCUCAAAUCCAUUGGCGGCCCCCGCGUCGGCCACGAGCGCAGCAGAAACGCGAACUCGUGAGCCCGUCCGGGCGGCUCCCAGAAGCUACACCCACCCAGUUUGACCUCGGAUCAGGUAGGGAUACGCGCUGAACUUAAGC
rnacentral:misc_RNA from 1 species